rnacentral:rRNA from 1 species
GACGUAGGGCGCGAGCGUUGUCCGGAUUUAUUGGGCGUAAAGAGCUCGUAGGCGGCUUGUUGCGUCAGCUGUGAAAACCCGCAGCUCAACUGUGGGCUUGCAGCUGAUACGGGCAGGCUUGAGUUCGGUAGGGGAGACUGGAAUUCCUGGUGUAGCGGUGAAAUGCGUAGAGAUCAGGAGGAACACCAAUGGCGAAGGCAGCUCUCUGGCUUCACCCUGACGCUGAGGCGCGAAAGCGUGGGGAGCGAACGGG